UCCUUUGUUUUUAUACAUCUUGCUGCCUUGU
rnacentral:piRNA from 1 species